rnacentral:rRNA from 1 species
UACAGAGGGUGCGAGCGUUUAAUCGGAAUUACUGGGCGUAAAGCGCGCGUAGGCGGCUUUGCAAGUCGGGUGUGAAAGCCCUCAGCUCAACUGAGGAAGUGCGCCCGAAACUGCAGAGCUUGAGUGCCGGAGAGGGUGGCGGAAUUCCCCAAGUAGAGGUGAAAUUCGUAGAUAUGGGGAGGAACACCGGUGGCGAAGGCGGCCACCUGGACGGUAACUGACGCUGAGACGCGAAAGCGUGGGGAGCAAACAGG